rnacentral:rRNA from 1 species
CCUACGGGGUGCAGCAGUGGGGAAUAUUGCACAAUGGGCGCAAGCCUGAUGCAGCCAUGCCGCGUGUAUAAAGAAGGCCUUCGGGUUGUAAAGUACUUUCAGCGGGGAGGAAGGCGAUAAGGUUAAUAACCUUGUCGAUUGACGUUACCCGCAGAAGAAGCACCGGCUAACUCCGUGCCAGCAGCCGCGGUAAUACGGAGGGUGCAAGCGUUAAUCGGAAUUACUGGGCGUAAAGCGCGCGCAGGCGGUCUGUCAAGUCGGAUGUGAAAUCCCCGGGCUCAACCUGGGAACUGCAUUCGAAACUGUCAGGCUGGAGUCUUGUAGAGGGGGGUAGAAUUCCAGGUGUAGCGGUGAAAUGCGUAGAGAUCUGGGGGAAUACCGGUGGCGAAGGCGGCCCCCUGGACAAAGACUGACGCUCAGGUGCGAAAGCGUGGGGAGCAAACAGGAUUAGAUACCCUUGUAGUC